UGCACUUGCGUUUCUGUUUAACUUGUGAACAAGCCCUUAUAGACAAGUGCAAAAAAUAAAUCCUCUUUUGCAACCCAGAUCUCAUUGUUUAAUAAGAGUUUUGAUACACAUAAAAGAGAUAUU
ensembl:snoRNA